CUUGCUUCUCUUGAGAGCGGCGGACGGGUGAGUAAUGCCUAGGAAUCUGCCUGGUAGUGGGGGAUAACGUUCGGAAACGAACGCUAAUACCGCAUACGUCCUACGGGAGAAAGCAGGGGACCUUCGGGCCUUGCGCUAUCAGAUGAGCCUAGGUCGGAUUAGCUAGUUGGUGAGGUAAUGGCUCACCAAGGCGACGAUCCGUAACUGGUCUGAGAGGAUGAUCAGUCACACUGGAACUGAGACACGGUCCAGACUCCUACGGGAGGCAGCAGUGGGGAAUAUUGGACAAUGGGCGAAAGCCUGAUCCAGCCAUGCCGCGUGUGUGAAGAAGGUCUUCGGAUUGUAAAGCACUUUAAGUUGGGAGGAAGGGCAGUUACCUAAUACGUGAUUGUUUUGACGUUACCGACAGAAUAAGCACCGGCUAACUCUGUGCCAGCAGCCGCGGUAAUACAGAGGGUGCAAGCGUUAAUCGGAAUUACUGGGCGUAAAGCGCGCGUAGG
rnacentral:rRNA from 1 species